UACGUAGGGGGCAAGCGUUGUUCGGAUUUACUGGGCGUAAAGGGCGCGUAGGCGGCAUAUUAAGUCAGCUGUGAAAUCUCCGAGCUUAACUCGGAACUGUCAGCUGAUACUGAUGUGCUAGAGUGCAGAAGGGGCAAUCGGAAUUCUUGGUGUAGCGGUGAAAUGCGUAGAUAUCAAGAGGAACACCUGAGGUGAAGACGGGUUGCUGGGCUGACACUGACGCUGAGGCGCGAAAGCCAGGGGAGCAAACGGG
rnacentral:rRNA from 1 species